CAGCCGCCGCGGUAAUACGAAGGGUGCAAGCGUUACUCGGAAUUACAGGGCGUAAAGCGUGCGUAGGUGGUGGUUUAAGUCCGUUGUGAAAGCCCUGGGCUCGACUUGGGAAUUGCAGUGGAUACUGGAUCACUAGAGUGUGGUAGAGGAUAGUGGAAUUUCCGGUGUAGCAGUGAAAUGCGUAGAGAUCGGAAGGAACAUCUGUGGCGAAGGCGGCCAUCUGGGACAACACUGACGCUGAGGCACGAAAGCGUGGGGAGCAAACAGGAUUAGAGACCCCUGUAGUCCCUGUCUCUUAUAC
rnacentral:rRNA from 1 species